GACGAACCGUACGAACGUUAUUCGGAAUCACUGGGCUUAAAGGGUGCGUAGGCUGCGCAGCAAGUUGGGUGUGAAAUCCCUCGGCUUAACCGAGGAACUGCGCCCAAAACUGCUGUGCUCGAGGGAGAUAGAGGUGAGCGGAACUUAGGGUGGAGCGGUGAAAUGCGUAGAUAUCAAGUGGAACACCAGUGGCGAAGGCGAGUCUCUGGACAUUUCCUGACGCUGAGGCACGAAAGCCAGGGGAGCAAACGGG
rnacentral:rRNA from 1 species